rnacentral:tRNA from 1 species
GGAGGUUUAGCUUAGUGGUAGAGUGUUUGUCUAUCAUGCUCAAUGCCCUGGGUUCAAUCCCCAGCUCCA